GGGGAUGUAGUCCAGUGGUAGAGCCCUUGUCUAGCAUGCAUGAGACCUUGGGUUUGAUGCCCAGCACCACCU
rnacentral:tRNA from 1 species